rnacentral:rRNA from 1 species
UUUUUAUAUUUUUGUUUUAUUUAAAUAUUUUAUUAUAUUAUUUUAUUUUUUAUAAGUAUUUUUUGAAUUUAUUAGUAUUAUUAAAACUGACUAGGUUUGUAUUUAUUAUCUUAAAAUAAUUUAUAGUACCUUUUGUAUCAGGGUUAAUUUAAUUUUAAAUUUAUAAUUUAUGUCCCGAAUUGAAAAUAUAUAAUUUUAAAUUAAGUAAUUUAUUGUAAAACGUUUCUUUAAUUUAAUUUUAGUAAUUAAAAGUUAUUCGUUUUUCAUAUAUAUCUGGUUUUUUAAGAAUUAAUUAAAUUUAGGAUCUAUUAUAAAUAUUAUUAAUUUAUUUUUUAUUUCUUAUUAAUUUGGGGAUAAGCUCAAUUUAACUUUAAAAUUAGUUUUAAUUUAAUUUUUUUCAGUUUUAGAAUCUUUCAUUAAGUUCUUAAUAGAUUAGAAUUUUAUUUUUUUUAUUUUAUUAAAUUUAUAUUAUUAUUAGAAUUUUUUAUUAAAUUUUUAUUUAUUAAAAAUAAUGAUUAAAUUAGUAUAAUUUUAAGUUAAUAAUUAAUUAAUUCAACAAAUUUUAUUUUCAACUGUUUAACAAAAACAUUUCUUUUAGGCUUAUAUUAAAAGUAUUUUCUGCCCAAUGAUUAAAUUUAAAUGGCUGCAGUAUACUGACUGUGCAAAGGUAGCAUAAUAAUUAGUCUUUUAAUUGGAGACUGGAAUGAAAGGAUAUAUGAGAAAUAUAUUUUAUUAUUUUUAAUUUUUUAAUUUUAUUUUUAGGUAAGAAAGCUUAAUUUUUUUUUUGGGACGAAAAGACCCUAUAGAACUUUAUUAUUUUUACAUAUAAUUACGUUUUAGAAAUUUAACUAAAUUAUUUUAAUUAUAAUUUGAUUGGGGGGAUAAUUAAAUUUAAAACUUUAUUUUAAUUUUUCAUUUUAUUUAUGCUUAUAUUGAUCCAAAAUUUUUGAUUAAAAGAUAUAGUUACCUUAGGGAUAACAGCGUAAUUUUAAUGGGGAGAUCAUAUCUAUAUUAAAGUUUGCGACCUCGAUGUUGAAUUAAGAAAAGUUUAGGGGGAAGUUUCUUUUAUACUAAGUCUGUUCGACUUUUAAAUUCUUACAUGAUUUGAGUUCAGAUCGGUGUGAGCCAGAUCGGUUUCUAUCUUAAAAUAUUUUUAUUGUUUUAGUACGAAAGGACCAUUCAGUACUAUAUUUAAUAGUUUAUUUUU